GGGUUGUGAGGUUAAGCGACUAAGCGUACACGGUGGAUGCCCUGGCAGUCAGAGGCGAUGAAGGACGUGCUAAUCUGCGAUAAGCGUCGGUGAGGUGAUAUGAACCGUUAUAACCGGCGAUUUCCGAAUGGGGAAACCCAGUGUGUUUCGACACACUAUCAUUAACUGAAUCCAUAGGUUAAUGAGGCGAACCGGGGGAACUGAAACAUCUAAGUACCCCGAGGAAAAGAAAUCAACCGAGAUUCCCCCAGUAGCGGCGAGCGAACGGGGAGCAGCCCAGAGCCUGAAUCAGUGUGUGUGUUAGUGGAAGCGUCUGGAAAGGCGCGCGAUACAGGGUGACAGCCCCGUACACAAAAAUGCACAUGCUGUGAGCUCGAUGAGUAGGGCGGGACACGUGGUAUCCUGUCUGAAUAUGGGGGGACCAUCCUCCAAGGCUAAAUACUCCUGACUGACCGAUAGUGAACCAGUACCGUGAGGGAAAGGCGAAAAGAACCCCGGCGAGGGGAGUGAAAAAGAACCUGAAACUGUGUACGUACAAGCAGUGGGAGCCUCUUUAUGGGGUGACUGCGUACCUUUUGUAUAAUGGGUCAGCGACUUAUAUUCUGUAGCAAGGUUAACCGAAUAGGGGAGCCGAAGGGAAACCGAGUCUUAACUGGGCGUUAAGUUGCAGGGUAUAGACCCGAAACCCGGUGAUCUAGCCAUGGGCAGGUUGAAGGUUGGGUAACACUAACUGGAGGACCGAACCGACUAAUGUUGAAAAAUUAGCGGAUGACUUGUGGCUGGGGGUGAAAGGCCAAUCAAACCGGGAGAUAGCUGGUUCUCCCCGAAAGCUAUUUAGGUAGCGCCUCGUGAAUUCAUCUCCGGGGGUAGAGCACUGUUUCGGCAAGGGGGUCAUCCCGACUUACCAACCCGAUGCAAACUGCGAAUACCGGAGAAUGUUAUCACGGGAGACACACGGCGGGUGCUAACGUCCGUCGUGAAGAGGGAAACAACCCAGACCGCCAGCUAAGGUCCCAAAGUCAUGGUUAAGUGGGAAACGAUGUGGGAAGGCCCAGACAGCCAGGAUGUUGGCUUAGAAGCAGCCAUCAUUUAAAGAAAGCGUAAUAGCUCACUGGUCGAGUCGGCCUGCGCGGAAGAUGUAACGGGGCUAAACCAUG
rnacentral:rRNA from 1 species